MGAMGCUGGCGGCGUGCUUAACACAUGCAAGUCGAACGGAAAGGCCMGWGCUUGCWSKGGUACUCGAGUGGCGAACGGGUGAGUAACACGUGGGUGAUCUGCCUUGCACUCUGGGAUAAGCUUGGGAAACUGGGUCUAAUACCGGAUAUGAGCCRCUUUUAGUGUGGUGGUUGGAAAGUUUUUUCGGUGCAAGAUGAGCUCGCGGCCUAUCAGCUUGUUGGUGGGGUAAUGGCCUACCAAGGCGUCGACGGGUAGCCGGCCUGAGAGGGUGUACGGCCACAUUGGGACUGAGAUACGGCCCAGACUCCUACGGGAGGCAGCAGUGGGGAAUAUUGCACAAUGGGCGGAAGCCUGAUGCAGCGACGCCGCGUGGGGGAUGACGGCCUUCGGGUUGUAAACUCCUUUCGACAGGGACGAAGCUUUUKG
rnacentral:rRNA from 1 species